CAUUUAUAGUUAACAUAUGACCUCUAGGGAAUUCUUUCAGGCCUUUCGAGACUUAGUUUGUCAGAUAUUGAAAUUUUGAGCAACGAAGGUUACUCGGUGACAAUCCAUUUAGUAAUGUGCCAGGGUUCAUAUUUCGAAACCUCACGAACUUGACCCUGCUGUACAUGCAGUCCAACACUACCAUUCAGAGAAUCGAAGAGUUUGCUUUUGAAGGAUUAUUCAAAUUGAUAUCUUUGUCAAUUAAAUCCAAUGUAGAAAAUAUCUAUCGUAACACAUUUGUGGGUCUGAGGUCUCUGACUAAUUUGACAUUGGGUACUGUCCAAUAUAUUGCUCCUGAUGCCUUCAUCAACACACCAAGAUUGUCAAGUCU